AGUCGAACGAACUCUGGUAUUGAUUGGUGCUUGCAUCAUGAUUUACAUUUGAGUGAGUGGCGAACUGGUGAGUAACACGUGGGAAACCUGCCCAGAAGCGGGGGAUAACACCUGGAAACAGAUGCUAAUACCGCAUAACAACUUGGACCGCAUGGUCCGAGUUUGAAAGAUGGCUUCGGCUAUCACUUUUGGAUGGUCCCGCGGCGUAUUAGCUAGAUGGUGAGGUAACGGCUCACCAUGGCAAUGAUACGUAGCCGACCUGAGAGGGUAAUCGGCCACAUUGGGACUGAGACACGGCCCAAACUCCUACGGGAGGCAGCAGUAGGGAAUCUUCCACAAUGGACGAAAGUCUGAUGGAGCAACGCCGCGUGAGUGAAGAAGGGUUUCGGCUCGUAAAACUCUGUUGUUAAAGAAGAACAUAUCUGAGAGUAACUGUUCAGGUAUUGACGGUAUUUAACCAGAAAGCCACGGCUAACUACGUGCCAGCAGCCGCGGUAAUACGUAGGUGGCAAGCGUUGUCCGGAUUUAUUGGGCGUAAAGCAAGCGCAGGCGGUUUUUUAAGUCUGAUGUGAAAGCCUUCGGCUCAACCGAAGAAGUGCAUCGGAAACUGGGAAACUUGAGUGCAGAAGAGGACAGUGGAACUCCAUGUGUAGCGGUGAAAUGCGUAGAUAUAUGGAAGAACACCAGUGGCGAAGGCGGCUGUCUGGUCUGUAACUGACGCUGAGGCUCGAAAGUAUGGGUAGCAAACAGGAUUAGAUACCCUGGUAGUCCAUACCGUAAACGAUGAAUGCUAAGUGUUGGAGGGUUUCCGCCCUUCAGUGCUGCAGCUAACGCAUUAAGCAUUCCGCCUGGGGAGUACGGCCGCAAGGCUGAAACUCAAAGGAAUUGACGGGGGCCCGCACAAGCGGUGGAGCAUGUGGUUUAAUUCGAAGCUACGCGAAGAACCUUACCAGGUCUUGACAUACUAUGCAAAUCUAAGAGAUUAGACGUUCCCUUCGGGGACAUGGAUACAGGUGGUGCAUGGUUGUCGUCAGCUCGUGUCGUGAGAUGUUGGGUUAAGUCCCGCAACGAGCGCAACCCUUAUUAUCAGUUGCCAGCAUUAAGUUGGGCACUCUGGUGAGACUGCCGGUGACAAACCGGAGGAAGGUGGGGAUGACGUCAAAUCAUCAUGCCCCUUAUGACCUGGGCUACACACGUGCUACAAUGGAUGGUACAACGAGUUGCGAACUCGCGAGAGUAAGCUAAUCUCUUAAAGCCAUUCUCAGUUCGGAUUGUAGGCUGCAACUCGCCUACAUGAAGUCGGAAUCGCUAGUAAUCGCGGAUCAGCAUGCCGCGGUGAAUACGUUCCCGGGCCUUGUACACACCGCCCGUCACACCAUGAGAGUUUGUAACACCCAAAGUCGGUGGGGUAACCUUUUAGGAACCAGCCGCCUAAGGUGGGACAGAUGAUUAGGGUGAAGUC
rnacentral:rRNA from 2 species